rnacentral:rRNA from 1 species
GGGAGCUUGCUCCCUGAAGUCAGCGGCGGACGGGUGAGUAACACGUGGGCAACCUGCCUGUAAGACUGGGAUAACUUCGGGAAACCGGAGCUAAUACCGGAUAACUCUUUCCCUCACAUGAGGGAAAGCUGAAAGAUGGUUUCGGCUAUCACUUACAGAUGGGCCCGCGGCGCAUUAGCUAGUUGGUGAGGUAACGGCUCACCAAGGCAACGAUGCGUAGCCGACCUGAGAGGGUGAUCGGCCACACUGGGACUGAGACACGGCCCAGACUCCUACGGGAGGCAGCAGUAGGGAAUCUUCCGCAAUGGACGAAAGUCUGACGGAGCAACGCCGCGUGAGUGAUGAAGGUUUUCGGAUCGUAAAACUCUGUUGUUAGGGAAGAACAAGUACCGGAGUAACUGCCGGUACCUUGACGGUACCUAACCAGAAAGCCACGGCUAACUACGUGCCAGCAGCCGCGGUAAUACGUAGGUGGCAAGCGUUGUCCGGAAUUAUUGGGCGUAAAGCGCGCGCAGGCGGUUCCUUAAGUCUGAUGUGAAAGCCCCCGGCUCAACCGGGGAGGGUCAUUGGAAACUGGGGAACUUGAGUGCAGAAGAGAAGAGUGGAAUUCCACGUGUAGCGGUGAAAUGCGUAGAGAUGUGGAGGAACACCAGUGGCGAAGGCGACUCUUUGGUCUGUAACUGACGCUGAGGCGCGAAAGCGUGGGGAGCAAACAGGAUUAGAUACCCUGGUAGUCCACGCCGUAAACGAUGAGUGCUAAGUGUUAGAGGGUUUCCGCCCUUUAGUGCUGCAGCAAACGCAUUAAGCACUCCGCCUGGGGAGUACGGCCGCAAGGCUGAAACUCAAAGGAAUUGACGGGGGCCCGCACAAGCGGUGGA